CGCACACCAGCUUUCAGGCACAAACACCACCCCCAGACCCUGCCAAAACCCACGCGUGAGCGAGGGGAGCUGGUAAGGAAAGGAAAAUAAGUGAAACCCACUUGCAAAGAUCCCUCCUCUCCCACAACCUGGAAGGGAAAUACAUAUACAUGGUUGAAAACUCAAAGGCACCAAAAAUUGUACAGUGACAAGUUGUGUGCUUUCCUCUUUCCUUGAAGACUUUUUGAGGGUGGGUCUUAAGCCCUGUCCCCAGGAUCUGUCCCAGGAUCCAGGACACGGCAUGUGCAAAGGGCAGCAAGCCCCAGUGCUGCCUAGGAACCGGCCGACAAGCAGGGCAGCCUGGAGCCGGAGCGGAGGGGAGGAGGCUGCUGUCUCUGAAGACUCAGUGAUGGACAGUUAUUGAAGGCGCUCAGCUGGGGGCUCCACUCUAGUCUUAAUCUGAGCCGCCCUCGAGGAAAUCAUAACCAGCUCUUAAAAACAUGUUAAGACCAAAGCUGGUGAGUGUGUUUGAGCAGAGAUUCAGACAGCUACUUAACACCAGGGGCCUCUGGGCCUUAGAUUCCUCUCCUCCUCACCCUGCCCUCUCCCCGCAUCUGGCUGGUGUUUAUCGGCCAAGACAUUGUUUAAAUCACACUCGCUUCCUAUAAACAUUUUACUUGAAAUGCCACCCGCUGCUCCAGGAAUUCAUCUAUCACCAGCUCAGGGGUGUAUUUGAGGAGCCUGGGGUGAUGUCUCCCCAUCUCUCUCUCCUGUCCCCCGUCUUCCCUCCUCCCCUGACCCAUAUUCUCAAGUUUCACGCCACAAGAACAACUUCCCCUCAGUGGAACAGGGCACUAGUGCCAGGAUUAUUUAUAAAAGUAGAGAUGGCAACGAGCUAUGGGAACAGCCCGGCCAUGGACACUUUCUCUUGCAAAGUUCAAUAAAUGGACUCGGAACACCGUUUACCACCUGUUGUCGCCAUCUCUUCUGUGUUUCCU